ensembl:lncRNA
AGGUGCCAGCUAACUACCAAGCUCACACCUGUGAAGCCCGUGCGCCCGUCUCAAAUGAGCUUCAAAGAUUAAAAUCCUCCCGGUCCCUUCCAGAAAUAUCCCUGCUGGAUCGCUGCCAUGUAGGUAGGGAAUAGGGUGGGAUUCUUGGGAGAGCAGUCAGCGGCAGCACAGAGCAGAGGAUCCCCAGCGGGUGCGGGUCCCUGGCAGCGCCGAAAGAGCAGCAGGAAAACCUUGGGCUCUGACGGCCCCUGGACCUCUGAUCUCCCUACACCUGCAGUCUUUUCGUUACCAGGGAUUCAACUGGACCGCGGAGAUACCUUGGGCAGCCCUGAAAUUAUGCGAUUUGAGGACACGCUGUCAACUCUUAUCCCGAGAUCACGCCGUAGAGCCAGACUGCUUCUCCAGUUCUGAACUGGCCCGGACCCGGGCGGUGGUGGCCAGGUGUUGGGAGCUGGGCAAGGCAAGCCAGACCGCCCGAAGGACCUUCGAUCAGGCAUCCCCUCCAGCUCGGCGCAACCCCGCAGGCAACAGACGUGCCAGGUGAAGGAAGAGAAGAGCAGAGGCAACAGUAAUUCAGUUUCACUGCACUGUUUCCCCAGAUCCGACAGGCACAAGUGAUUGGUCUCCCUGCCUCUCUCUUUCGGGGCUGCUAAGCUAGCUGCGUUCUGCCGGAAAAACACAUCGCCCAGACCGAGCGCAGCGUUUGGAGACCUCGGAAUUACCCCCCGACCUGGGCCCGAUAGCACAGGCAGCAGGGCGAGGGACACGGGAGCGCGGCAUCGCCGAGUGGCUCUAUGAAGCGCGGGACCCUGGGCGCUCGCGGUUGAGCCCGGGUCCCAAGGACAGGGCAGAGGUGGGAGGACCCGGGCUUACGGGAGCACAGCCGCUCCUGCAAGCACCCCCCGCAAACCCAGUCCUCGCUGCCGCUUAGCCCCAUCAAGGUGCGCCUCCUCGGUGCGGAGUCCCACCUACCUCCCGCCACCCCGCUGACCUCAUAAACAACUUCGCUAACCGCAGAGGGCGGAGGCGGGGCGGGCGGGCCGC